AGGAUUCCCCUAGUAACUGCGAGUGAAGCGGGAAAAGCUCAAAUUUAAAAUCUGGCGGUCUUUGGCCGUCCGAGUUGUAAUCUAGAGAAGUAAUGCCCGUGCUGGACCGUGUAUAAGUCUCCUGGGAUGGAGCGUCAUAGAGGGUGAGAAUCCCGUCUUUGACACGGACUACCAGUGCAUUGUGGUAUGCUCUCAAAGAGUCGAGUUGUUUGGGAAUGCAGCUCAAAAUGGGUGGUAAAUUCCAUCUAAAGCUAAAUAUUGGCGAGAGACCGAUAGCGAACAAGUACCGUGAGGGAAAGAUGAAAAGAACUUUGGAAAGAGAGUUAAACAGUACGUGAAAUUGCUGAAAGGGAAACGCUUGAAGUCAGUCGCGUUGGCCAGGGAUCAGCCUUGCUUUUGCAUGGUGUACUUUCUGGUUGACGGGUCAGCAUCAAUUUUGACCGCUGGAAAAGGGCCUGGGGAAUGUGGCAGCUUCGGCUGUGUUAUAGCCCCUGGUCGUAUACAGCGGUUGGGAUUGAGGAACUCAGCACGCCGCAAGGCCGGGUUUCGACCACGUUCGUGCUUAGGAUGCUGGCAUAAUGGCUUUAAGCGACCCGUCUUGAAACACGGACCAAGGAGUCUAACAUGCCUGCGAGUAUUUGGGUGGAAAACCCGAGUGCACAAUGAAAGUGAAAGUUGAGAUCCCUGUCGUGGGGAGCAUCGACGCCCGGACCAGAACUUUUGGGACGGAUCCGCGGUGGAGCAUGUAUGUUGGGACCCGAAAGAUGGUGAACUAUGCCUGAAUAGGGUGAAGCCAGAGGAAACUCUGGUGGAGGCUCGUAGCGAUUCUGACGUGCAAAUCGAUCGUCAAAUUUGGGUAUAGGGGCGAAA
rnacentral:rRNA from 1 species